rnacentral:rRNA from 1 species
ACUGCUCAGUAACACGUGGCUAACCUGCCCUUGGGACAAGGACAACUCCGGGAAACUGGGGCUAAUCCCUGAUAGGUGAGAACUCCUGGAAUGAAUUCUCGCUGAGAGGACGUUUAGACCAUGCUUCUAGGCGUCGCCCAAGGAGGGGGCCGCGACCGAUCAGGUUGUUGGUGAGGUAACGGCUCACCAAGCCUUUAACCGGUACGGGCCGUGAGAGCGGAAGCCCGGAGAUGGGCACUGAGACAAGGGCCCAGGCCCUACGGGGCGCAGCAGUCGCGAAAACUCCGCAAUACACGAAAGUGUGACGGGGCUAUCCCGAGUGCCACCCGCUGAGGAUGGCUUUUCCCCAGUGUAUAAAGCUGGGGGAAUAAGGAGAGGGCAAGCCUGGUGUCAGCCGCCGCGGUAAUACCAGCUCUCCGAGUGGUGGGGAUGUUUAUUGGGCCUAAAGCAUUCGUAGCCUGCUUGGCAAGUCCUCCGUUAAAUCCAACGAUUCAAUCGUUGGGCUGCGGGGGAUACUGUCCGGCUAGGGGGCGGGAGAGGCCGACGGUAUCCCCGGGGUAGGGGUGAAAUCCUAUAAUCCCGGGAGGACCACCAGUGGCGAAGGCUGUCGGCUAGAACGCGCUCGACGGUGAGGGAUGAAAGCUGGGGGAGCGAACCGGAUUAGAUACCCGGGUAGUCCCAGCUGUAAACGAUGCAGGCUAGGUGUUGGCGCGGCUACGUGCCGCUCCAGUGCCGCAGGGAAGCCGUUAAGCCUGCCGCCUGGGAAGUACGGCCGCAAGGCUGAAACUUAAAGGAAUUGGCGGGGGAGCACCACAAGGUGUGAAGCUUGCGGUUUAAUUGGAUUCAACGCCGGA